GGGGAUUUAGCUCAGUGGUAGAGCACUUGCCUAGAAAGUGCAAGGCCCUGGGUUCGAUCCCCAGCUCCG
rnacentral:tRNA from 1 species